UACGUAGGGGGCAAGCGUUGUCCGGAAUCAUUGGGCGUAAAGCGCGUGUAGGCGGUUCGGUAAGUCCGCUGUGAAAGUCGGGGGCUUAACCCUCGGAUGCCGGUGGAUACUGUCGGGCUUGAGUACGGAAGAGGCGAGUGGAAUUCCUGGUGUAGCGGUGAAAUGCGCAGAUAUCAGGAGGAACACCAAUUGCGAAGGCAGCUCGCUGGGACGUUACUGACGCUGAGACGCGAAAGCGUGGGGAGCAAACAGG
rnacentral:rRNA from 1 species